GGGCCCGCACAAGCGGUGGAGUAUGUGGUUUAAUUCGAUGCAACGCGAAGAACCUUACCAGGGUUUGACAUCCUGCGAAUCUCUUGGAAACGAGAGAGUGCCUUCGGGAGCGCAGUGACAGGUGGUGCAUGGCUGUCGUCAGCUCGUGUCGUGAGAUGUUGGGUUAAGUCCCGCAACGAGCGCAACCCACGUCUUUAGUUGCCAGCAUUCAGUUGGGCACUCUAGAGAGACCGCCCGGUUGGAUAAAACCCGGGAGGAAGGUGUGGAUGACGUCAAGUCAUCAUGCCCCUUACAUCCUGGGCUACACACGUACUACAAUGCUACGGACAAAGGGCAGCAAGUUCGCGAGGAC
rnacentral:rRNA from 1 species